rnacentral:sRNA from 1 species
AAGCCUGGAACGCGGACUAGAAGGCGGUUGAGCCUGGUUUCCAGGCGGGC